CGCAUACGACCUACGGGAGAAAGGGGGCAGUUUACUGCUCUCGCUAUUAGAUGAGCCUAAGUCGGAUUAGCUAGAUGGUGGGGUAAAGGCCUACCAUGGCGACGAUCUGUAGCUGGUCUGAGAGGAUGAUCAGCCACACCGGGACUGAGACACGGCCCGGACUCCUACGGGAGGCAGCAGUGGGGAAUAUUGGACAAUGGGGGAAACCCUGAUCCAGCCAUGCCGCGUGUGUGAAGAAGGCCUUUUGGUUGUAAAGCACUUUAAGCAGUGAAGAAGACUCCAUGGUUAAUACCCAUGGACGAUGACAUUAGCUGCAGAAUAAGCACCGGCUAACUCUGUGCCAGCAGCCGCGGUAAUACAGAGGGUGCAAGCGUUAAUCGGAAUUACUGGGCGUAAAGGGAGCGUAGGUGGCUCUAUAAGUCAGAUGUGAAAUCCCCGGGCUUAACCUGGGAACUGCAUCUGAAACUGUAGAGCUAGAGUAUGUGAGAGGAAGGUAGAAUUCCAGGUGUAGCGGUGAAAUGCGUAGAGAUCUGGAGGAAUACCGAUGGCGAAGGCAGCCUUCUGGC
rnacentral:rRNA from 1 species